GAGGGGGAAUUUUUUCAAGGAAAAAAAACCCUGGUAAAAAUGCAGAGAGGUAAAUUUCCUUUUUCUUGUUGUAGACCAUGUUUGAUGGUCUGGAAUUAUUUUUCAUGAUAAAAAAUUCAUAGUUUGAUAGACAGGAAAAUUUUUUUAUGGAAAAAAUUUUUGACUGUUUAAUAAAAUGACGAUCAAAUUAGAUGGUUUAAUAAAAUGACGAUCAAAUUGGUUCUGGACAUCUUUCUCUCAUAUUUGGAAUCAAGGUAUCAUGCAAUGUUUGAGAAAACUAGUUACAUUUUUUUGGCAUUCAUGAUCAGAUUAAUCAAAUGAAAGGGAGUGAGGAAAAUUGGAGAAGCCUGUGAGAAACAAACGAGGAUGCAAUAAAGUUUGAAUGGUGCACUGCUUUCCACAGGCACAAUAUAAACGAUACAGGUGGAGGGGGAUCAUAGCAUUGCACUUAGAGUUUCAGCUCGAAAAGAGGGGAAAACAAGGACUUCAAUCUCUGCACGUUUUGGAGAAGACGAUUAACAAUAGAGAAGAAGAAAAUGCAAGGUUGUAAGAGAUUUCCCCUUCUUUGAGAUCACGAGGUAGCAAUGGGUUCGAUUUGGCGUUACCUGGAGAAGUCGACAGAGAAGAGAAGAAACCAAUUUCUUCUCUAUGUAUUCUGCAAUCGUGGCUGGGUCCUCUCCCCGUGUAAUGGAGUAUUUCCUUUCUCUGCACGAUCUGAAGAGCCAACAAAGAGGAGAGGUCGAUCUCUUCUCUGAGGUCGUCACUCUUCCUUUUUAUGGUUUCCGUUGAACAGUAAUAUGGAGGAGGGAGAAGAGGGCAAUGGAAGAGGAGCGAGAUGGCCCUAAUAGGCAGAAAAAUAAUCGUCGAAAAAAGUCGAACCCUCACGGGUCAGACUUUUUUCUAGGGAGAAUUUACCCUGAAAUCGAGUUUUUAGGGGGGGGGGAUUUUUCCUCCGUUUGAUGGCGCCGGUUGAAUUCGUACAAAAAAGGAAAUUUUCACUCAAUUAACAGUAUUUUUUGUGGCCAUCAAAUGUGGCCUCAGAGAUACAUGGACAAUCUUAUGGACACAUUUAAACAUCGAUAAUGUUGUUCAGGAAAAUAUUAUACUUCAAGUAUAAAUGAAAUGGAAUUAGGAAGUUGUUCUCCUCGAAGAUAUGCUGACCAGCAAUGCCUGUAUAACACAAUCAAAUCAAAGUGAUCAGAAUUGUGUAUGGUAAUGUUUUCUUUGGUGCCUAAACUUGUGGGACUUGAGAAUUGUGCUCAAGGCUAGGCUCCAUGAAGAAUUAUUGGAAUAUGUUUUGAUAUGGAAAAUCCUUUGUUGAUACAUAAAAGAACACCAAAUAUGUCUUAUGCUAUGACAUAUGUGAGUGCGAUUGGACUCUAGUGGUUGGUUUUGUCCCAGCAGAUUAUGGGGUGGCAUGAGCUCACUGUGGUUGCCCAUUCCUCUGUCUGCACUAGAUUGCCCAUGGGGUAUUGUUGGGCACAAAGGCCCAAGAUUGUGUUUAUGUUUAUGAGGAAUGUGAUGCGUCUCCUGGUACCUCAACCUCAGUGCUUAAAGAGGCCGAUCUACCACUUGGGCUAAGGCUGGGUGGUUGGAACAUAUUGUAGUAGCGAUGAUAUGAGAUAUCUCAUGAUACUUCACUGCAGGUUACCUUUGGACUUUGUGGACUACCUAGUGAAGAUUGAUCUUGGUCUGCUUGUGUUUGUGCCUACAGGAAUUUCUAUUGAUGCUUGUCACUGUUACCAUGUUUGAUUGUGGUUAGACUAUUGAUGUACCUUUGCAACCUAUAAUGAUCUGUGUUACUACAUUUGUGGUAGUAACUUAGCUUUAGUGAGGCUUAACGUGUUAGCUCACAAGCGGUGGUCCCAUAUUUGGUGGUGGUUAAACUAUUGGUGUAUCUUUGCAACCCAUAAUAGUCUGCUACUACAUUUGUAAUAGUACGCUUAGUUUUGGUGAGGCUUAAGGUGUUAGCUCAUAGAUGGUUGUCUUGAGCUUGACCAUGUCUCGUGUUGGUUAGACUAAUGAUGUGUCUUUGCAACUCAUAAUGAUAUGUGUUACUGCAUUUGUGAUAGUAAGCUUAGCUCUGGUGAGGCUUAAGAUGUUAGUUAGCUCAUAGGUUAUGGUAUUGUGUUUGACCAUGUUUGGUGGUGGUUAGACUAUUGGUGUAUCUUUGCAACCCAUAAUGGUCCCUGUUACUACAUUUGUGCUAGUAAGUUUAGCCUUGGUGAGGCUUAAGAUUUUAGCUCACAGGUGGUAGUCUUGAGCUGCAUACUAGUUUUCAUUUGAUAUAACUAUAUAUCUGUUUUGCCGAACCGUGCUCUACCUAUGAUUGGAUACUUCUAUAGUCAGAAAAAUCUGACUUUUUUUUUCUCUUUUAUCUCUACAAGUAGUUCUUGAUUGAUUGUUGGCUUUUGGACGGACUCCCUCUAUUUUGCAAUAGACUAGCAUUGGCACUCUAGGCAUUGAGUCGAGUUUGGAGAUUUUUGUGACUUUAUUUUCAUUGAGUCGUAGUUUUUUGUUUGGGCUCUACAUGGGUCCUUGUGACAUCGUUCUUCUCGUUGGGUCUGUUUAUGCUUUGGUCAUUAUUCAAGAUUGAUUUGACUUUUAAAACUUGAUGUUCAUUCUACAAUAUAUUAGGUCAUGACUCCUUUAAAUCCUGCCUAGACUUGAAGCCAUAUCGAAUGAAACAAAAAACCUUUGACAAAAAAGCAUUGGUAUGAUGGAAAGUACACUUGAAUGAGGGAUCAAAGGAACACAAACCUCAUUUGGAAUAUUAGAUGAGAACAAUCUUAGAAGAACUCCCAAGUGAACAUGUGUCAACUCGAAAAAUAAUGGGGUUGUCACCUACAAGGUUUUCUGCAGUUAUUAGCUGAGAGAAGAAAAAAUGAGAGCCUACAUAGUCACCAAACUAAGAGCUAUUGUGCCCAAAAGCAGCUGGUACAAUUUAUUCUGCCAAAAUUGAACAUAGUGACCCUUUUCCUCUAUCAAGAUAAUGAAAUCAACGCAUACCAUGAAGAGCUACAACAUAUCUAUUAGAGGGUAAAGGAAAAGAGGUCAUUUUGUAUCUUCAUAAGUCACCAACUUUUUUCUCAAGACUUUGGAAGGAUAAUUGACUGGUUGGGAUUUUCAAAGUAGGAAUUUUAUGGUAUUAAAAUAGCAAUGCAGUUUUAGGAAAGUCUAUAAAUUAAGAAAAUAUACUACCAAAUAUUAUUGUAUAGGAUCAAAGGAAAGGCAUGAGUAAAUGUUGUCGGAACAAUGCAAUCCAGGAAAAGAAGAUGGCUACACAACUAGGGCUGCACAACGAGUCGAGCUACUUGAGCUCGACUCGUUUAAGCUCGACUCGUUUAAUAAACGAGCUGCUUAUUUCGUUAAACGAGUCGAGCUUGAGUUAACGAGUCGACUCGUUUAACUAAUCGAGUCGAGUUCGAGUUCACUCAAGUGGGCUUGUUAAAACUCAACUCAACUCGAUUAGUUAAUGAACCGAUUUUUAAAAAACCGGUUCAGAAGCUUAUCACGAUUCACACAGGCGGGAAAGUUUCAAAGUUUUUUCACUUUUAGGGUUUUGUUUUUUCGUUCUCCCUCUCUCUCCGACUCUCCCUCUCUCGCUCUCUCCGUCGUCUCCGACUUCUUCUUCUCUUCUCCUGUUCUCCGCCGACCGCCUGUGCUCUCUGCUCUGCGCUCCUGCCAGCUGCCGCCCUGUCGUCUCCGACUUCUUCUUCUCUUCUCCCGUUCUCCGCCGACCGCCUGUGCUCUCUGCUCUGCGCUCCUGCCGGCUGCCGCCCUGCUUCGCUCGCAUACCUCUGCCUGGCGCCUGUGCUCUGCGCUCCUAACCUAAACUAGAAGCCAUUCCCUCUACCCGAAUCCGUCAUCUCGUGGUCGUGGUUUCCUUAGGUUGUCAUCUUCCUCUUGCCCCUCUCUUCCGCCCACCAUCUUCGCAUCCUCAGCCCGGCAGUCCGCUUCUUCCGGCUCUCAGACUCUCAGUACUCCCUUCCGGUGGAAACAUCGGUGCCUGAGGAAUCGACGCCAGAGGCCGUGCAUCACCCAAAUUACUUUUUUGUCGAGUUUUUAUUUACAUACAAUAACUUGCAUCACCAGCGGAUAAGUGGCACUGGGUUGUCUGGGCAGCUGCCUGACUUUAUUGUGAGCUGGACACAACUGGAAAGAUUAGAAAUCCAGGGCACUAAUCUGGUGGGUCCAAUUCCAGCUGGCAUCAGCAAAUUGGAAAAUCUAGAGCAGCUGAGGAUCAGCGACACUUGGAACAAGUUCAAAAUUCCCUGAUUUGAGCAGACAACACCACUUAUCACGCUUGAUAUUGAGGAACUGCUUGCUAUUUGGUCAAAUCCCUGAUUAUAUUGGUCAAUUCAAGGCCUUGAGAAUACUGGAUCUAAGCUUUAACAACCUGACUGGUGGAAUACCAAACUCUUUACAAUUCCUUUCCCGGUUACAGUAUCUGACAAACAAUAGCUUAUCUGGCCCUGUACCUGGUUGGAUACUGGGGACUAGCGUGGAAGUUAUGUGUUUUCUUCUUAAUUAUUCCAUUCUUCUCUUUAGUUUAAGAGCACUUCAAGUCUCCAUAUCUUUCUAGUCGAUGUUUUGGCUUGCCUGCCUCUGAAUUAAAUAUUGACCGACUCAUGCCUGAGCUUGAGCUGGUUCCAACCGAAGGCCAUCAGAUGAAAACUGGUUAAAUAUGAAUAAGAUGUCAAAAAACAAUCAUUAGGAACAUGCUAUGACAAAAGAAGGAGCAACUCCAGCAAUUGCCUGUAAAUGAAUAUCUUAUGACUGAAAUGCACUUAACGAUUACUUUACCUAUGAAUAUGGAAAUUCACACUGUGCAGUGCUCUCAUCCACCCAUCAGUUACUAUUUCUUUGACUUCCAUUUAAAAUUUUGCUUUAUGUCCGUUAAAUUGAAAUUUCUAAACACAAAUUUUUUCUCUCCUGCCUUGCUUUAGAUCUGGUGUUUCUUUCAUAUUGAUGUUGCCAAUGUUGUGUGUCAACUUUUAGAAAGCACUAGCUGCAUUUUGUGCGUGCAUGUGUGUGCGCAUAUGUACUUAUUUCUGAUUUCAAUAUGGUAAGUCUUGCAGGUGGAAUAAUUUUUCUGCUUCUUAUGUUUCUAUUGUUGUGUAAUAAUUCAUUCUGUAACUAUAAAUGCAGUAAUCCACUUGUAUGGCUGUGGUAAAAAUAAGUGAAACAUCUUUCUUCACAUUACCUGCUUAGUAUUGAAUGUUGUGCAAAAAUAAUUUUUGAUAAAGUUCUGGACAGUCUUUAAGCCUUAUCCUUUCAUCAUGGUUGGUUAGCUUUCUGGCUUUUUUUCUUUUUGGGAACAGUUACCGAUGUAGCUGGAGAGGUGGUUGAGAUUGGUCUUGGAGUUCAGGGUUUCAAAGUUGGCGACAAAGUAGUUAGCAAGCUCAAAUUGUUGGAAUUUAUCAUCAAACAGUCUUCAGGGUGUUUGCAUUCAGGGAUAUUUCUGAUAACAAGAAUACAAGAUCAUUGGCUCCAUUCCACCAUCCAUUGGAGAUUUGGAACACCUCCUCAAUUUUUUAGCUUUAACAUUUGAUAAGUGUAAUUAUCAGAUAAAUGAAUUUGAUUUGUGCUACUUCUGUUUCUUAUGUUAAUCAUUAUUUAUCAUGCUUUUAA